UUUUCCUCUCUCCUCAUUUCAUCCCGUCCUCGCCCGGUUCUCUCCUCUCUGCUGCUCCCUCUCUGACCGGCGGCGAUUUUUGCUGCGGUGGCGUGGGGUUUCGGCGGUGCGGGUUGUUGGAGAAGACAGGCGUGGGUCUGGGGAAGGAGAGCGCGACCAGCUCACCGUCGAUUCUCCCCCCGCGGCUUCGCGCAUCUACCGUGCGAGUUUGAGGGAUUCAGGGCCAUCGGCGGCGUGCGGCGAGCUGCAUGUCGCUCGGCGCGCUGGAGGGGUCUGCCUGAACCGGUUCCGGCUGCUGUACGCGAGGGGCGCGCGCAUCGACGCCGGCAGCGGGUUAACCAGCUCCGCGGGCGCUACGAGCACGCCGGCUUCGGCAAUUUUCACUGUUUGCAUUCUCCCCUCCACCUUCUGAUCCUCGCAUUUUGCAGCGCGCUAGGGUUUGCUCGACGACGGGGUUUGCACGCGUCGGUUGAUUUGUUAGGGGGGAUGUGAUUUUUCGCCCGUGAUUUGUGAUGAUUUGGUCCCGCAAUGGGGGCCAGUUCGCGAGCUCUCUGUGUUGUUAGGUGGGGUAGCAGUAGGGGUUAACCCAAUGCAACUACUGAUGUGUUUUAGCUUUAGGUUUUGCCCUUUGAUUCAUGGGAAUCAAUGACAACCCCUAAUUGCAUAUGUGUAAUAUAUGCAUCUGUUUGUCUCGAUAAGCACAUGAGGAUGUGGAUUUUUGCAGGCAACUUUUUUGUGUAUGCUUAUUUCCUCGUUCAUAUGUAUGCACAACUUUUCGUUAGAUUUUGCUGCUUUGCUCAAGUGCAUACUGGCCAAUAUCUGUGAGUUGUUAAGGAGUGUCUUUCGAUCUAGAAUUAAUUUGCAUCGACUGGUUUUUAUAUUAUCAAGCAACUUCUUAAGAUAGUUGCCCAAUAUGUAUGUUAGGAGUUGCUCCACUCUAGAUUUAAUAAGUUUCUUUCGCCUAGGGGCGGGGUGUUUUUGUAUUAUCUGUCAACAACUUCUGGCAGCAACGUUGCAAUAAUUAGUUGCUUUUCGUGCUAGUUGUUUCUUCAUUAAUUGCAUUUUUAGUACAGGCCUAAUGCUGCUUAAAUAGUUGGGCAAUAUGUAUGAUCUGUUAGGAGUUGCCUCACUCUAAAUUUUUUUCAUUUUUAGUAAUUGCAUUUUUUUUUCACUUCAUUGGGUUUCCUUAAUAAGUUGCUUUCGCCUCGGUGUUUUUUCAGUAAUCCUUCAUAGAGUAUGGACGGAAAAUAUUAGUAUGAUGAGAGAGGGAGGGGAUGAGAUCACUCAGACCAUCAUGUGGCUUGUAGAUAUUAUACUUCAUAGAGUAUUGGACGGAAGAUAUUAUGAUAUCGUGCAUUGCAUGUGCAUGCUUACUAGUUACAUUAAGGACUGGUCUAAUUUGUGCCUGUUUGGUAUGGAGUCAAUUCUGAAUUUAAUUUGUCCCGCAUGUAUUCCUGAGUAAUGCUUUCUAGAAAGCCAACUCUGGGUGGAGCUACUGUACUGUUUCAACAUUUUCUUUAGACGGUAAUUCCAUUUGAUGCUCAAAAAUUGGUUGAUUCGGUCUCCUUACAGUUGUUCUCCUUGUGUGUUUUUGUCUCAUCUUUUGUUUCAGCGGACAUUAUGAAUUUAGUCGAUGAUGAGGCAGCGGGGGGAGUGUCUGAAGAAGACAAAUCUAGAGAUUUUAUUCAUCGUCAUCGCCAUACUAGGCAAAAAUCUCUUGGGUUCAAACCCAGGCGCUUGAUUAUGUGGGAGAAAUUGCUACAGAGGAUGACUACAUAGUGCAGGCGUGGUUUUUGUUCCCCGAAGUCGCUUUUUAAGCCCUAUGUUAACUAUCGCUACAUUUCUGCAUUUUAUUGUCCUCAUGGGAUUCAUUGCGUGCAGUCUCCCUCGGAGAACAAUGAGAUUGCUCUAGCUAAUGGUAAAUGUACUAGACGCAUAGGCCAAGAGGGAAUAUGUACAGAUGAUAGGAGUAACAUGAAGCAAAAUCAGAAGAUUGACUACAAGGAGCUUUUUUCGGGCAUGGGUGGAAUGUACAGCAAACAAGGUGGGCAAUCUGGUCAGAUCAGGAAGCAAAACGAGGGGGGUGGAAACUGAGAUACUUGAGCAAAAAAACAGGAAAUGUUUUUUAAGGGAUGCAGCAUGUGUGCCACCUUUUCUAAGCAACCUUUCUAUGCAUUAAGUACUCCCAAGUACUGCUUGUAUGUUUGAGAUCUGGUUCUUUUUCUAUGCCUUCUGUAGUUGACAAGUUGCUUACAUGGAUUGAUCACAACUGACAGGUUUUUCAUAUCUCCUGUAACAUGCUCUUACAUGACAGUCCAGAGUUGCCUUUUUACAAGUUUGUAUGUGUUUCUGUUGAUAAAAACUUGUUUCUUGAGGAA